AUGGCGGGACUGGGUGGCUCGUCUGCUCGUCUCGGCUCGGUCGGCCCAAGCAUCCUCCAUCACCGUGGGUUGCACCAAGGAGACCCGCUCUCCCUCUUCCUCUUCAUUUUGGCCAUCGACCCACUGCACCACCUCAUCGCGGCGGCACUAGAUCAGCAGCUGUUACAUCGCCUCCCAGGCCGCGGCCUGGUGCUUCGUGUAAGCCUCUACGCCGACGACACAGUUAUCUUCAUAAACCCUAGACGAGAAGAGGUAGAUUCUCUGUUGCACAUCCUUAGCGACUUUGGCAAGGCAACUGGGCUCUGUAUCAACCCGGCCAAAUCCACGGUCUUGCUGAUCCGUUGCGAGAACAUCAACGCCGAGGAGGUGCUCCAGGGUUUUGCAGGCUCCAUCGCCCCCUUCCCCAUCAAAUAUCUUGGGCUGCCGGUCUCUAUAGGCCGCCUUCGUUUGGUCCACCUCCAGUUCAUCAUCGACAGAAUCAAGGCAAGGCUUGCGGGCUAGAAGGGCAAACUGCUACCGAUGGCCGGCUGCCUCGUCCUCGUCCGAUGCACGCUGAGUGCCAUGCCAACCUUCGCCCUCACCGUCCUACGUGUCCCAAAGAAAAUUCUCAAGGAGAUCGACAAGUGUAGGCGACGUUUCCUCUGGUGCCAGGACGACGAGAUUUCGGGCGCCAGCUGCAAGGUCAACUGGCCAGCGGUCUACGCCCCGACGGAGCAAGGAGGCCUGGGCAUCCCUGACCUGCAUUGUUUUGGCAGAGCGCUGCAGCUGCACUGGCUCUGGAUUUCCUGGCACCACCCGGAGCGGCCUUGGGUGGGCACCGAGCUGCCUUGCGACGGUGCGGACAAGGCGCUCUUCGCGGCCUCCACCAGCGUUGCGAUCGGCGACGGGGCUCGGGCCUCCUUCUGGCUCUCUUCAUGGAUCGGCCAGGGCUGCCUCUCGCAACAACUCCCACAAGGUUGUUCAGCUACUUGUGGCGCAAGAACAGAUCGGUGCGGGAGGCCCUCAGAGACGACACGUGGAUCCGCAACCUUGUCCAUGACAACAACCGCCAUCUCCUGCCGGACGUCCUCGCCCUUCAUCGUCUGCUCCAGGGGACGGACGUGCAGCUACAACCAGGAGUGCCGGAUGACCUGA
rnacentral:rRNA from 1 species